AGAUUGAACGCUGGCGGCGUGCCUAGCACAUGCAAGUCGAGCGGUAACAGGUGUAGCAAUACAUGCUGACGAGCGGCGAACGGGUGAGUAAUGCUUCGGAAUCUACCUUAUGGUGGGGAAUAACUAGCCGAAAGGUUAGCUAAUACCGCAUACGUCCUACGGGAGAAAGCAGGGGAUCGCAAGACCUUGACGACCAAAAAAUGAGCCGAAGUCGGAUUAGCUAGUUGGUAGGGUAACGGCCUACCGAAGGCGACGAUCCGUAGCUGGUCUGGAGAGGACGACCA
rnacentral:rRNA from 1 species